rnacentral:rRNA from 1 species
GCUGUCACUUAUAGAUGGACCCGCGCCGUAUUAGCUAGUUGGUGGGGUAACGGCCUACCAAGGCGACGAUACGUAGCCGACCUGAGAGGGUGAUCGGCCACACUGGAACUGAGACACGGUCCAGACUCCUACGGGAGGCAGCAGUAGGGAAUCUUCCGCAAUGGGCGAAAGCCUGACGGAGCAACGCCGCGUGAGUGAUGAAGGUCUUCGGAUCGUAAAGCUCUGUUGUUAGGGAAGAACAAAUGUGUAAGUAACUGUGCACAUCUUGACGGUACCUAACCAGAAAGCCACGGCUAACUACGUGCCAGCAGCCGCGGUAAUACGUAGGUGGCAAGCGUUAUCCGGAAUUAUUGGGCGUAAAGCGCGCGUAGGCGGUUUUUUAAGUCUGAUGUGAAAGCCCACGGCUCAACCGUGGAGGGUCAUUGGAAACUGGAAAACUUGAGUGCAGAAGAGGAAAGUGGAAUUCCAUGUGUAGCGGUGAAAUGCGCAGAGAUAUGGAGGAACACCAGUGGCGAAGGCGGCUUUCUGGUCUGCAACUGACGCUGAUGUGCGAAAGCGUGGGGAUCAAACAGGAUUAGAUACCCUGGUAGUCCACGCCGUAAACGAUGAGUGCUAAGUGUUAGGGGGUUUCCGCCCCUUAGUGCUGCAGCUAACGCAUUAAGCACUCCGCCUGGGGAGUACGGUCGCAAGACUGAAACUCAAAGGAAUUGACGGGGACCCGCACAAGCGGUGGAGCAUGUGGUUUAAUUCGAAGCAACGCGAAGAACCUUACCAAAUCUUGACAUCCUUUGACCGCUCUAGAGAUAGAGUUUUCCUCUUCGGAGGACAAAGUGACAGGUGGUGCAUGGUUGUCGUCAGCUCGUGUCGUGAGAUGUUGGGUUAAGUCCCGCAACGAGCGCAACCCUUGAACUUAGUUGCCAUCAUUCAGUUGGGCACUCUAAGUUGACUGCCGGUGACAAACCGGAGGAAGGUGGGGAUGACGUCAAAUCAUCAUGCCCCUUAUGAUUUGGGCUACACACGUGCUACAAUGGACAAUACAAAGGGCAGCGAAACCGCGAGGUCAAGCAAAUCCCAUAAAGUUGUUCUCAGUUCGGAUUGUAGUCUGCAACUCGACUACAUGAAGCUGGAAUCGCUAGUAAUCGUAGAUCAGCAUGCUACGGUGAAUACGUUCCCGGGUCUUGUACACACCGCCCGUCACACCACGAGAGUUUGUAACACCCGAAGCCGGUGGAGUAACCAUUUUGGAGCUAGCCGUCGAAGGUGGGACAAAUGAUUGGGGUGAAGUCGUAACAAGGUAGCCGUAUCGGAAGGUGCGGCUGGAUCACCUCCUUU